rnacentral:rRNA from 1 species
GAUGAACGCUGGCGGCGUGCCUAAUACAUGCAAGUCGAGCGAAGCGGGGACGGUUGCGUAACGCGUGGAUAACCUCCUAUAAGACUGCGAUAACUUCGGGAAACCGUCGCUAAACCGGCUACUUGUAGAUGGAUCUUCGCUGCAUUAGCUCGUUGGUAAGUGAACGGCUUACAAAGGCCACGCUGCAUAGCCGACCUGAGAGGGUGAUCGGCCACACUGGGACUGAGACACGGUCCAGACUCCUACGGGAGGCAGCAGUAGGGAAUCUUCCGCAAUGGGCGAAAGCCUGACGGAGCAACGCCGCGUGAGUGAUGAAGGUCUUCGGAUCGUAAAACUCUGUUAUUAGGGAAGCGGUACCUAACCAGAAAGCCACGGCUAACUACGUGCCAGCAGCCGCGGUAAUAC